rnacentral:rRNA from 1 species
CCUACUGGAUGCAUCAUUAUGGAAUCUUGCUCCAUGGGGGCACCCCUGCAGCAGCAACGCCGCGUGGAGGAUGAAGGUUUUCGGAUUGUAAACUCCUUUUGUUAGAGAAGAUAAUGACGGUAUCUAACGAAUAAGCACCGGCUAACUGCGUGCCAGCAGCCGCGGUAAUACGGAGGGUGCAAGCGUUACCCGGAAUCACUGGGCGUAAAGAGCGCGUAGGCGGGAUAGCAAGUCAGAUGUGAAAUCCUAUGGCUUAACCAUAGAACUGCAUUUGAAACUGUUAUUCUAGAGUAUGGGAGAGGUAGGUGGAAUUCGUGGUGUAGGGGUAAAAUCCGUAGAGAUCGAGAGGAAUACUGAUUGCGAAGGCGACCUGCUAGAACAUAACUGACGCUGAUGCGCGAAAGCGUGGGGAGCAAACAGGAUUAGAUACCCCGGUAGUC